rnacentral:tRNA from 2 species
GCCGACAUAGCUCAGCUGGUAGAGCAACGCACUCGUAACGCGUAGGUCGCAGGUUCGAAUCCCGUUGUCGGCU